CAUUGAGGAUAGUGCUGAAGUCCUGAACACGUGCUGAGGCAAUGUUACGUGCCAAGAUGUCUGCUGCCGUACCUGAAAGGGUUAAUCUAUUGGUAGAAAAGCGUGCAAAAGGAUCCCGCCAAAGCCAGCAUCCCCCCCCCCCUAGGGUAAUUCCAUCUGCCCUGCAUAGUCACACCCCAUACCACAAAUAUUCAUCCCCUCCCUCCAACUGUUCAUCCCCUCCCCGCUCUGUACUGGACCUCACUGAGGGAGGGGGGGGAUGAAUAUCCAUAAGCCGGGCGGCGCUGGGGACGAGCGGCGCUGACGUCAGAGUGCAAGAAGGAGCCUUGUAACCCCACCUGUGACAGUUAGCAGCUAAUUUGCAUAUCCAGAAGAAUGAAGAUAACAGGUGAAUGGCAGAGGCGGAUCCAGGCAUGAUAGGCAGCAUAUUGAUCAGCGUCCACCCAGUACCUCUGCACUGGGCUAUAGAGCUGUUUUCUAGUCUCCUAUGCCUCCAGCUACACCCUUUGGUGUGGAACCAGGAUAGCAGAAAUCUAGUCACUGGAUUAAGUUAAAGUUGUUCAAUUUACAGUUAAAAUUCAGGAUUCGACAGGUUCGCUCUAAACAUUACCAAGAGAACAAAAGAUAGAGAAGGAGGAGGACUACCAUCUACGACAUACUUACACCAUUUAUAAAACAAUAAUUAAAAAAAUCGGCACUUUACAAAAAUACUUGUAUCUCAAGAUGGGAAAAAAAUGUUUGCACAAACCAGAUGAGAAGUAUCGGGCGGACUAAUUAAUUAGUGGUCAGAGAUAGCAGUGUUAGGACUGUGCUGCUUAUCUUAUUAUGUUGAUGUUGCAUACUUUCGAGUCAGUGAUUAAUCAAAGACUUAUGAUAGCUUUAAAGCACAAAAAAAAAA